UCUUCAUUCUUCUUCUUUCUUCUUCUUCUCCUUGUUCUUCUUCUUCUGUUAUUCUGCUUCUGCGGGUUUGAGAGAAUCAAAUGGAAGUUCUACUUUCGGCAGAAGGUGGGGGGAAGACCUUUUAACAGUCGAUGGUGAUGGUGAUGGUGUUUGUUGUUGAUUCAAAUUCGAAUCUGAGAUGAAUUGAAUUUAAGAUUUCUCUGUAAAUCGAUGAAGGUGAAGAUGAUAAUAAAAUUAAGAUUGAAAGAUGAAUAAUAGAACUGUGGGGAGAUGAAGAAGCGAGGAUUGAAGUGUAAUUUCAGUUUUGAAGUUGUUAUGGAUAUGAAUCAAAGGAUUAGGGUUUGCCAGAAGAUUGUGUAGAAGUUCGAUUAGAAGAUGAAUUUGAUGUUUUAAAGGGGAUAUUUGAGAUGGAUUUUGAUCAGGUAUGAAGUAGUAAUGAUUGCAUGGGUUUAAUUUUGAUUUCAGUUCCUCAUGUUCUUCCCCAAAUUAUAAUUAGGGUUUCUGAAUUUAUUGGAAAUUAGAGUGAAGUUGUUUAAGGAGAAAUUAAAGGCUGGGUAUGGUUGGUAUGAGAAGUUGGAAUUAUCUUUUGAACUCAAAAUUAGAAAAUAGAGGGUUUGGAAUUGGUUAUAGUGUUUCUGAGAAUCAAUGAUGGGUUGAAGAAUUAGGGUAUGGUUUCAGUUGUGCUGAUGAGUUCUGGGUAGUCUUGAGAUGUGUUGGUGAAUCAAAAUCAAGGUGGGAAUCAGAAUCUGAUUCAGUUGUUUGAGGAAGAUUACUUUGAGGUAAUUGUGCUGAGUUAAUUUAGUAGAACUAUUAGAUUUUAUUGAUUGGUCUUAUGUGUUUGUGAAUGAACUGAAAUGAGAUAUUGCUUUGAUUGAGAACUGGUAACACAAGUGGUGGUAGUGUUGAUGUUAGUGGUUUGGUAAUAGAGAUUAUGAUGUUGUGUUGAUGGUGGUGGAUAUGAUUGUUGCAGGACAAUAAUAUUGCUCUGGUUAUAAUUAGAAUUACAAGUGGUGGUGGUCUGGUAAGGUACAGAGUUGGAGAUAUUAUGGCUUGGUCAAUACAAGGAUUUGGAGAUAAAGAUGUUGAUUAUGCAGGAUGUAUGGUUAGGUUGCUAUGGUGGUUUGUUAGUGACUAGUGAAUGGUUGAAGAGAACUGACAUGAAGAUACAAGGUCAGUAAUCUGGAGAUAGAAUGAAUGUGGUUAUAAUGAAGAUAUGAAUGUAUUGGUGGUGGUUCUAUUUUAUGAACAGAAUUAUUAUUAAAGUGGUGUAUUGUUGUUGAAGUUAAUGAAACUGUGGUUAGAUAUUAGGUUUGUGUUUUGGAUUGCAUUUAAGGAUGACAUGUUUGGAUUGACCUGGCUGAGAUGGGAAUGUUGCAGUUGAGGAUGAAUCUAAACUGAGAGUAGGAGUAAGAUGAAUGGUUUAGAAAUUUUGGUUAUGCAGGUGGUUGUGUUGAGAGUCAAGUUACAGAAAUGACGGUGUCAUGUUGGUGGUGAUGAUAUGAACUGAGUUUGAGUAAGCCUAUGAGAUGUUAUUGUUAUUGAGGCUAAGAGAAAUUGGUAGAAGUUUAGUUGAUUUUGAAGAAUCUAUGGCUUAGUACUGCAAUUGCAGUUUCAGUGACACAUCAUAGUUGCGCAGCGGAAGCUUCAAGGGUUGAGUUCGCUAGCUGAUUAACUUCUGUUAUGUUUUUUAUGUUGUAUAUUUUAUUUGUAAACCAAAUGAUUAUUGUAUAUGUAUCAUUUGAGAGGAAUCCUUGUAUAUAUAUAUAUUUCUGAGCGGGGCUAGUUUUGGGUUAAGUUUUGGUAGCAGAUUUGUAAAUUGAAUGUUUAAGUAAAUGAUUUAGAUUCUUAGUGCC